rnacentral:rRNA from 1 species
GUGGGGAAUAUUCCGCAAUGGACGAAAGUCUGACGGAGCAACGCCGCGUGAGUGAUGAAGGUUUUCGGACUGUAAAGCUCUGUUGUUUAGGACGAAAGUGCCUGUUGCAAACAGUUACAGGUAUUGACGGUACUAAACGAGGAAGCCACGGCUAACUACGUGCCAGCAGCCGCGGUAAUACGUAGGUGGCAAGCGUUGUCCGGAAUUAUUGGGCGUAAAGAGCAUGUAGGCGGGAAUCUAAGUCUGUUGUUAAAAUGCGGGGCUCAACCCCGUAUUGCGAUGGAAACUGGGUUUCUUGAGUGCAGGAGAGGAAAGGGGAAUUCCCAGUGUAGCGGUGAAAUGCGUAGAUAUUGGGAGGAACACCAGUGGCGAAGGCGCCUUUCUGGACUGUGUCUGACGCUGAGAUGCGAAAGCCAGGGUAGCGAACGGGAUUAGAAACCCCUGUAGUCC